rnacentral:rRNA from 1 species
GACGGAAGGUGCAAGCGUUGCUCGGAAUCACUGGGCGUAAAGGGUGCGUAGGCGGCCGUCCAAGUCUGGCGUGAAAGCCCCGGGCUCAGCCCGGGAAGUGCGCUCGAAACUGCGCGGCUCGAGUGCCGGAGGGGAGAGUGGAAUUCCUGGUGUAGCGGUGAAAUGCGUAGAUAUCAGGAGGAAUACCGGUGGCGAAGGCGGGUCUCUGGGCCGAUACUGACGCUGAGGAGCGAAAGCGUGGGGAGCGAACAGG